AGACAUAAGGGGUAGUAUAUAGGGAUUACGCCUUGAUGGAGGAGAUUCCGGUUCGAAUCCGGGCCAUUAUGUCUAUUGAGUCUAGCUAGGCUAGACUCUUUUUUU
rnacentral:sRNA from 1 species